GUGAGCCACCGCACUCAGCCACAUAGUUGUAAAAAUUCUAAAUGAUAUUUUAGCAAAUAGCAAUCAACAAUAAAUAGAAAAGAGAACACAUCACAACCUAGUAGCGAUUACCCACAAAUGCAAGAUUGGUUUAACAUUCACAAAAUUAAAAAGGAAAGAUUAUAUGGAGAACUCAAUAGAUACGAAAAAAGCAUUUGACAAAAUUCAACAUUAAUUCUUAAUGAGAACUCCCAGCAAACCAGGAAGAGAAAAAAACUUUCUCAACCUAACUUUCCCCUUCCCUCCCCUUCCCUUCUCCUGUAGCCUUGCCUUGCUUUGCUUGUCACACGGAGGAUCAGAGCUCACUUUGUAAACGUGGUGAGGAUGAUACCAUGGAGGGCGUGAGGAUGAUACCAUGGAGGGCGUGAGGAUGAUACCACAGAGGGUGUGAGGAUGAAGAUGCAGGACACUGGGCACUGGAGUCUGGAGAGCGGGAGGAGACUCAUCCUUUGAAGGAUCGUGAGCAUGGCUUGCAGGAAGUGUCGGAGGAUGAUUCGAAGGUAUCCCUGUUUUACAGAUGAAGAAACACAGACACAGAAGUCACAGCCAGGGAGAGAUUUUGGCAGCAGAAGCUCUAUCUGGGGUGUAGCAGUUGAGCCCUCAGUUUCUGCUCAGACGGACCUGGGUCUGAUCCCAGCUCCACCACGGGCCAGCUGUGAUGGCACCCCCAUCACAGGCCAUUUGAAGAGUAAAUGAGGUGACACAUCUUAGGUGCUAGCAAAGUCCCGGCACAUAGUAAAUGCUCAAGUAAAUGCAGCUGCUGUUGUUCUUAUUGGCAUGCUGACUGCACCUGCAGAGACUGCCUCUGCCCGGGCCCCACCCGCAGACUUUCCUCUCUUUCCUUUCCCUAACAUCCGAUUCCUAUUCCUUUCUGUUUCUAUGACCAGAUUAAAAGUCACUCCCCUAUUUAAAAUCCUGCCUGUCAGUCUGGUGAAAAAUGUGGAAAUGGAAUUUAGGAAUUAGACAGGUUUGAAUGCAAAUCUGUUUUCUCCCUUCAUUAGCUGGAAGUCCUUAGACAAGUCCCUUAACCAAGCCUCAGUUGACUCACCUGCAUAAUGAAGACAGCACUCUGCAGCCUGCGGCUUAUGGUAAAAACCAAAUGAAACAACAGGUGAGAAAAGGGCUUUGCAAAUGGCAAAUGGCAAACCACUGCUCAAAUGCUGGCUUGUUUUCCUUCUCAUUUUCGGUGUCCCUUGGUAACCUGAGUGUUUAACCUGUGUUUUCUUUCUUUGGUUUAAUGAAGGCCCACUGUGAAGAAAUAGCCAUGUUGGGGGAUAGAUCCACCAACCAAGCCUGGAGUUAGGUCCACAGUUCUGAGCUUGAGUCAAGCUCCCCGACAAUGCUGUGUGCUCUGGGCCCUGCAGACCUCUGGGCUGCUACUGGCCUUUCUGCCUCUCUGCUCCUCCCUCCCUCUGCUCCCCCACACAGCUCUGCAGCAGCCUCCAAACACCUCUGGCUCUGCUGCUUCUACCCGGAACGCCCCUCCCUCCUCUUGUUCCUCCUCCUCUCUCUCAGGGAAGCCCUCCCUGACCCCAAGACCCAGGCACACACUACACAAUUCGCAAAGAAUGAGUAGCUUCUCUCCCAGCUUAUUUUGUGACUUCCAUGAGUUUGGGGACUGUGUCUGUCUGACUUACACUUGUGUCCAGAGUUCUGCAUAAUGCCUGGCAGAACUCUAUCCACUCAACAUUGUUCAUAAA
rnacentral:lncRNA from 10 species